CUCUUGUCAGCUCUUGACUGUGGCAGCAAUGCAAAGUAUCAACGACAAAACACAUCAAAACUCUGAAAUGGACUGGUCCCUGCUACCUUCUCAUCUCUCCUGUCUUAUCAUGGCUUGGGUCAAGAACUGUGGUCAAGAAUUGUGACCAAGAGGAAAUACUGACCUUUUUUCUCUUCAUAUACUGGGAAAAAGAUGCUUCACUUCGUGGUUGGUUCCAUUGUUACACAUUUUCAUUCCGGCUUUUGAAAACCCAGCAACAAAUGGAUACAGAUUUUACCAUUCAUCCAGCCUGUAGCCUCCAGUCCAAGGCAUUAUUAAAUGUUGUUCAAAUGUUUUCAGAAAUUAAUUGCCUGUACCACAAUGAUUUAUAG
rnacentral:lncRNA from 1 species